rfam:Rattus norvegicus chromosome 7, whole genome shotgun sequence.
GGGGAUUUAGCUCAGUGGUAGAGCGCUUGCCCAGCAAGCACAAAGCUCUGGGUUUGGACCCCAGUUCCCA